rnacentral:rRNA from 1 species
AUGUUGCCUGCGCUCGUUGAGGCCGCCAUGGCCGAAGCAUCGCGUCCGCGCACGCACCCGCAUGCCCCUGCCGCCUAUGUACGCCUGUGCCCGCUGUCGCAUGUCUGCUGCAGCCCGCGCCCUCGUUCGCCCCUGGCUGUGUCCGUCCGCACGUGCGUGCAUCGGCCGCACCCUGGCCGAGCGCCAGCGCCGCUCGCGGCUCCCGCGCUCGCCCUGCUACUUCUUGCUGCUGCUGCACUGCCGUUGCUGCUCAGCUACUGCCGCUACUACUUGCUAUCGUGCUGCCCUGCUCCCACUAACUGCUGCUGGAUUGCACUGCUGCUGCUAGGUACUUCUACAGCCGGUUGCUGCUGCUACAGGCCAUGGCCAUAG